AUUGAACGCUGGCGGCAGGCCUAACACAUGCAAGUCGAACGAGUGGCGGACGGGUGCGUAAUGUCUGGGAAACUGCCUGAUGGCGGGGGAUAACUACUGGAAACGGUAGCUAAUACCGCAUACCAGCAGAUGUGCCCAGAUGGGAUAAGCUAGUUGGUGGGGUAACGGCUCACCAAGGACACGAUCCCUAGCUGGUCUGAGAGGAUGACCAUCCACACUGGAACUGAGCCACGGUCCAGACUCCUACGGGAGGCAGCGGUGGGGAAUAGUGCGCAAUGGGCGAAAGCCUGAUGGAGCCAUGCCGCGUGUAUGAAGAAGGCCUUCGGUUGGUAAAGUACUUUCAUCGGGGAGGCGUUACCCGCAGAGGAAGCACCGGCUAACUCCGUGCCAGCCGCCGCGGUAAUUC
rnacentral:rRNA from 1 species